UAGGAUUAUAGUUUAAUAAAACAGUUAUUUUGCAAAUAAAAGAUAUAAUAAUAUUAAUCUG
rnacentral:tRNA from 1 species